rnacentral:rRNA from 1 species
UACGAAGGGGGCUAGCGUUGCUCGGAAUCACUGGGCGUAAAGGGUGCGUAGGCGGGUCUUUAAGUCAGGGGUGAAAUCCUGGAGCUCAACUCCAGAACUGCCUUUGAUACUGAAGAUCUUGAGUUCGGGAGAGGUGAGUGGAACUGCGAGUGUAGAGGUGAAAUUCGUAGAUAUUCGCAAGAACACCAGUGGCGAAGGCGGCUCACUGGCCCGAUACUGACGCUGAGACGACGAAAGCGUGGGGAGCAAACAGG